rnacentral:lncRNA from 1 species
UCAUUUAUGUACAUAAUAUCGACACAACCUCAGGGAACUAGAGUCUCAUUUUACAUAUCAUUAUUCAAUCUAAAUAAUCAUUGUAAUAGGCCAAUUUUGGCCUAGGCCCAAAUCACAAUCACAAAACUAAACCUAAAACUAAAAUAAAAAUAAUUAAAUAAUCUAAAGUCCAAAUGUCCAUUUACAAACAGCUCAAUUUACCAGGCCUUUGACCCAAAAUAAAAAAAAAACCCUAGUGGCCCAAUAUGGCCCCAAAACUAAACAUUUUCAAAAAAAAAAAAAGAGACAGAAACCCUAGCCUUCAGCGCCACACAUCAACAUGCCCACCGCCACUGCCCCCUCC